GGAAGACUCAGAUGGCUGGAGGUGGCUCGAAAGUCUGAGGUCUGAAGUCAUCUGGGGGCUUCUCUCACACGUCUGGUGCCUGGACUAGGAUGAUUCAGCGAUGACAGUGAGAGUAUCUACACAAGGCCUGUUUAUAUGGUUUGGGCUUCCUCACAACAUGGUGGCCUUGGGAUAACUGAGCUUACACAAAGUCUCAGGGCUGCAAACACAAGGGUUCCCUUCCCCAGUUAACAAGCCAGAAGCUGAUGGCUUGUGAUAACUUAGACUUGGGAGUUACAUAGCAUCGCUUCUCUGUACUCUUGGCUGAAGCAAUCACAAGCUUGCCAAUAUUCAAGGAAAGGAGACAUGGCAAGAGGAAGUGCGUCAAAGAAUUUGCGGCCAUGUUUUAAGACUAUUUUGUAUAUCCCAUCAAUUGCAGUAGCUGGUGAUAGAAACUGGGAUGGGGCUUGGUUCAGGAGGAGGGUUUAGAAGUGAUUUACCAAGUCCCAGGAUCUUCGCCUGAUACCACUACUCACUCACAUUACAGGGAAUCAGUGUGAGUCUUUUCCACUUUUUAAAUCUUCCAUUUCCCCAUGUGACAUUCAGGAUAUAAAAGGCUACAGGAUCAAACUUCUUCCCUUCUUUGCUGCUGGUGACCCUCCCUUUUAUGUGCAGCCACAGCUCACCACAUGGACAAAGGUCAAAAUGGAGUGUGGGCACCAACCAGCUUGGAAACUACCAGAGCAGAGGGGACUUGUGCAUCCAAUGUCUGUUGGGAACCCUGCUUUAUCAUGGCAUCCAGAGGCAAUGGGAGCCUCCUGGGCCCUGAGGGUAAUAAGGGGUCACCUGGCUUUCCCAAGGUCCCAAGGAGGCCAUGGGAGAUGUCGGGCAAGGCAGUGGUCCUGGAGAGUGUUGUGGGCAGUGUGAGGAGGAGGCUGAGUUCAUGGACUGAUGGUCACUGAAAAAAGGAUGUGGACAUAGCAGACACCAAUGAGGUGGAGUGACCGAAGGCCAUGGCUCAGCACCCUCUGUCCUCCAGCUCCCUGUCCCAGGCCACAGAAGCCCUUGGAACUAAGGAGCAACUCUGGGAAGACAGAUGAGAAAAUCCUGAAUAGGUCCACAGCUCCUGUCUUCAGGGCCUGCUUCCUGAAGGACCGCUGGAAAGUCACCACAUUAUCCCAGAGGGUGUCACACUCAGAAUUACAUUUCUCCAUCCCAGGAUGCCAAGAUCCAGCUGUGUCUCUGAUCCCCAUCUCCUCAGGUGAAGUUCACGCUCAUGGGCUGCCCUGCCUGAAAGGACAGAGGGAAACCAUUAUUACUCCAGCUGCCUGGAGAUCACGGUGCUGGUACCUCAUGGGAUCCCACCACGGCUCCUUCUCUGAUGAUCCUCAGCAAAGCAGAAGCUCACAGACAGGUGGACUCCACAGACUGGCAAUGGGCUCACCCUUAGUCCAUGCUGGGUGAAAAUGGGUGUAAAUAGGGGACCUGGGUGCUCACUCCUAGGCCAGUCCUUUCCUGCUGUGGGCUGUUUUCCCAUAAGCACCGCCUGUUAGCAGGCAUCCCUCCCCCUCCAUCUUGCUCAGCUGUUUUUAGUCCCUUCAGCUCAAGUCCCUAAUCUGGAACAUUGUCCCAGUGCCUCCAGUCCUCACAGUCUAACUCAUUUUAUACUCUGUGAUGGCACCACCCAAUGAGGACUCAACGUCCCUCCCGCAAAUGUCUGAAACGCCCAGUGAAACCCAGCUUCACUUCAUCACCUUGUUCACAGUCUCGUGCAUCUUCUAUCUCCCUGGGACAUCAGGACCCCUGGGGUGCUGCCCGUGUCUUACGCAUCGCUUGAACAUGGUGCUCCCCAGCCCAGGGCCUGCCUCUUGGAGCAUGCACAAAAAUGCACAUUGACCCAUUUCAGUGUGUGUCCAUCUCCUUCUGAACCUGACCUUGGUCUUGGUUGCAAGUGAUAGAAACUGAUACUGGCUAAGAAGCAGCAAAGGAGUUGAUUGGAAGAUUAUUAGUGAGCACGGGAGGCUCAGGAAGGCUGGAUACCAGGAGAGAAUGGGCAAGGGAGGCCAGAGGAAACAAGCCAGCACCACACCUCAGGAACUGGGGUUAGGAGGGUACUGCCCAGAUACCACCCCUACAGGCCACUCCUGUCACCACUGUGGAAAUCACUGCCAAGUGUGAAUUCUGGGCAAGAUGGUGGGUCAGAGGGGGUUGGACUGGCUAAACCUGGGUCACAUGUUCAACCCCAGACAGAAGUAGGGGGAUGUGGCCUCCCCAGCUUCUGGGGUGGGAUCCCCGAUUCACCCUCCCGGCCUACUCCAUAAGAGACUCCACCCACCAAUGUGGGAUGCUGAGCAGCACGCCAAAUGACAAGUGUCUAAGUCACAAGGGCUUCCCUUGUGGCUCAGCUGGUAAAGAAUCCGCCUGCAAUGUGGGAGACUUGGGUUUGAUCCCCUAGGUUGGGAAGAUCCCCUGGAGAAAGGAAAGGCUACCCAGUCCAGUGUUCUGGCCUGGAGAAUUCCAUGGACUGUAUAGUCCUUGGGGUCACACAGAAUCAGACACGACUGAGUAACUUUCACUUCAAGUUACUGAGAAUCUGCCAAGUGUUACUCUGGUGCUAGAAUAUGGACAUGAGGAAGCCAGGCACCAGCCAGGCAGGGAGGCUGGUAGGAAAGCAAUCCCAGAUCUGUUAGUCAUUUAUGGGCACCCACUCCAUGCCAGGGACUGUCCACGGGCUUUCUCAGACAUCAUCCCAUUUAAUCUGCACUGUGGUCAGAGCUCAACUAAAGGGGCUAAGGGUCAAGGGAGCAGUAGGUUGGCCAAGUUGUUACAACAGCAUCACAGAGAAGCUACCAUCUAGCUGGGUCUAAGAUACAGUAGGUAGACUCAAGGCAGAGAGAAGAAAAGGAAGGGCAUUCAAGGCAGAAGGAACAGCAUGUGUUAAAGCACGGAGGCACAACAACGUCAGAGCAUGCUCAGGUCAUCAUGGCUGCCUAGGAAUAAAGGGCACGCAGGUGCGCUGGGGGCUGUGUCAGAGAUGAGGAAGCCUCAAAUGAUAUGGCAAUAAAAAUAGCUACUCUUUCUCAAAACCUUAGUAAAUGGCAAUCUUUAUACAAGACCCUUCCUAUUUAUUGGUUUUUCCCUGGUGGCUUAGACAGUAAAGAAUCUGCCUGCAGUGCAGAAAACCCAAGUUUGAUCCCUGAGUUGGGAAGAUCUCCUGGAGAAGGGAAUGGCUACCCACUCCAGUAUUCUUGCCUGGAGAAUUCUAUGGACAGAGAAGCCUGGCAGGCUACAGUCCAUGGGGUCACAAAGAGUCAGACACAACUGAGCGACUAACACUUUCACGUUUUCACUUCAUAUUUAUUAUCUCCUUGAAUCAUCAUGUUUGCUUGAAGAAACUGAGGAUCAGAAAAGUUAAGUGAUUUGCUCAAGAUCACACAGCUAGGAAACUGGCAGAACCAGGACUUGAACCAGAGCCCAUGUAUCCACCACCAAAGCUGCCAGAAGUAACACGCAUGUCCUGCCAGUAAUUAUCUUCUGCAAGGACUUGUGGGAUUCCCUGUCUACUCCAUCUUCCUGUUCCAUGGAUAGUGACCUCCAUAGUUCAUUGGUUGCGGCUUGUCUUACCCUUUGCUCAAUCAGGUCACAUCAAGGAGGCUCCAGAAGAAUUCAUCCCUUUGCAUCAUGGUAUUAAAAAGUCACUUUCCUAUUACCACUUCUUAGUUCUGUAUUCAAGGAAGAGGAACUGCCCACAGAAUCUUUUGUGGGGAGGGGGGAUUCUUGAAAGGAGAAAAUACAGCCUCCUGCUUUGGUUGGGUCCUUUCAAGGUACUUCCAGACAGAGGGACAGAUGCAGAGGGCAUCUAUCAUGCUGGUUUUGUGCUAACCCAGCCUCCUCAUUUAAUAGCAUCAUGACCGUAGGCAAGUGGACUUAACCUUUGUGCCCCAAUUUCCUCAUUUAUAGAACAGAAUAUGAAACAGACUCAGUACAAUUUAACGCACAUCCAGUGUUGUUACCUCCGUGCAGAGCAUGGCCAGAGCUGUGAGAGCAAAUCUGUAAGGGCCAGGAAAAGAACAGGUCUGCCCUGGUUGAGGAAUCAGGAAAAUUUCUUCGAUAAAGUAGAAUUUGGGCCCAGCUUUCAAGAACAUGUAAGAUUGUAAAAUUCUGAUGGGGAAACAUCAGUUCAGGUGGAAGAAAUAGCAGAUGUCAAGGACUGGCGGUAAGAGAAGGGAGAGCCCUUUUGCACCGCAAAAUAAGUCCUGAUCAUCUGACAGUCUCUAAAUCUCUUUCUUCCCGAUGCUUCCUGACAGCUGUGUGUUUGAACAUAGAAAGAUCAGAGAAGUUUCUUUCAUUGACAGGCUGGUCUUAUGAGUUGGGUGAGGGUAGCAGCCCCUCCAUCCUGAGGCUUUCUCACCCAGGCUGACAUCUGCAUGAGACUUCACAGUACUGUAUAAAGACGCUAAUGUCCAGUCCUGCCCUAGAAAAGUCCAAACCGGGGACUGAAGGGAGGAAGCCAUUUCCUAGGAGAGCCAUGGAUCUAAGUCUCCACUCUUCUGCUCACUGUUUGUGUGAACUUAAACAAGUGGCUUCACAGCUCUGGUUUCCAUGUCUGUAAAAUGCGGAUGGUAAGAAUUGUAUCCAUUCCCCAGCAUCCCAGUGUGCCCUCACACUCUUUGUAUUGUCUUGAGGAGUAGGAGACCCAGGUGCCUGCCCUUUGGGAACUUCCUCUUUCUGCCUCCCAUCCUGUAGAGCCAAGGGGCCUCUACAGCUCAACGCCCAGGGAUGGGGGAGGCAACCAGAGAUUUUUGGUUCCUCUAGGGCACUCAGGAGAAUGUAACGAGCAAUUCCAGAUCCUGAGGCCCAUGACACUCACAGGGUCUGACUACUCAGAGCCUCUUCUCUAACUUUCCUCUCCAUUCUAUGAACUCCCUUUUGCCCUUCCAAUAAGUUUCUAGUUGGCUUAAGUUCACUGGAUCCCAGGUCAAUGACUUUCAGUCAAACAGUCCUCCUAACACAGCACUUUUAUCCAACUCAUAGAUUUUUUGUAGAGAUUAAAGAUGAAUGCACAUGGCUGGCACAUCACAAGGGGACCAUACAUGGUUGUUGUCACCAUGCUAUUCUCAGUUAAUCUCCAUAAUAACCCAUGCAUGAGGCAGGGGAGAGAUACCCAUUAGACAGAUGAAGAAACAGAGGCUCAAAGAGAUGAAGUGGCUAUCCUGAGUUUCCUCCCUAAAAGGUAGAGCAGGGACUCAAUGCCAGAGUGUCUGAUUGCAAUGUCGCUAUGCCAUACACUGUCC
rnacentral:lncRNA from 1 species